CACUCCUGCGGGAGGCAGCAGUGGGGAAUAUUGCACAAUGGGCGCAAGCCUGAUGCAGCCAUGCCGCGUGUAUGAAGAAGGCCUUCGGGUUGUAAAGUACUUUCAGCGGGGAGGAAGGCGAUAAGGUUAAUAACCUUGUCGAUUGACGUUACCCGCAGCAGAAGCACCGGCUAACUCCGUGCCAGCAGCCGCGGUAAUACGGAGGGUGCAAGCGUUAAUCGGAAUUACUGGGCGUAAAGCGCACGCAGGCGGUCUGUCAAGUCGGAUGUGAAAUCCCCGGGCUCAACCUGGGAACUGCAUUCGAAACUGGCAGGCUAGAGUCUUGUAGAGGGGGGUAGAAUUCCAGGUGUAGCGGUGAAAUGCGUAGAGAUCUGGAGGAAUACCGGUGGCGAAGGCGGCCCCCUGGACAAAGACUGACGCUCAGGUGCGAAAGCGUGGGGAGCAAACAGGAUUAGAAACCCCUGUAGUCCCAU
rnacentral:rRNA from 1 species